rnacentral:rRNA from 1 species
ACUCAAAGGAAUUGACGGGGGCCCGCACAAGCGGUGGAGCAUGUGGUUUAAUUCGAUGCAACGCGAAGAACCUUACCAGGUCUUGACAUCCUACGGAUUUCUAUGAAAGUAGAAAGUGCCUUCGGGAGCGUAGAGACAGGUGGUGCAUGGUUGUCGUCAGCUCGUGUCGUGAGAUGUUGGGUUAAGUCCCGCAACGAGCGCAACCCCUGCUAUUAGUUGCUAACAUUAAUGAUGAGCACUCUAAUGGGACUGCCUGUGACAAGCAGGAGGAAGGUGGGGAUGACGUCAAAUCAUCAUGCCCUUUAUGAUCUGGGCUACACACGUGCUACAAUGGAUGGUACAGAGGGCAGCGAAGCCGUGAGGUGAAGCGAAUCUCAAAAAGCCAUUCUCAGUUCGGAUUGCAGUCUGCAACUCGACUGCAUGAAGUCGGAAUCGCUAGUAAUCGCGAAUCAGCACGUCGCGGUGAAUGCGUUCCCGGGCCUUGUACACACCGCCCGU